ACUUUGCAAUGCGGGAAACCGUGACAGGGGAACUCCGAGUGCCUGUUAAAUCGGGCUGUCCACCAGUUUAAAUAACUGGUGAAGAAAGGGCCGGGCAAGACCGGCGCCAGCCGCCGCGGUAAUACCGGCGGCUCGAGUGGUGGCCACUAUUACUGGGCUUAAAGCGUUCGUAGCUGGUUUGUUAAGUCUCUGGGGAAAUCUUCCGGCUUAACCGGAAGGCGUCUCAGGGAUACUGGCAGACUUAGGGACCGGGAGAGGUGAGGGGUACUCCAGGGGUAGGA
rnacentral:rRNA from 1 species